rnacentral:lncRNA from 1 species
UCACAAAUUAUUUCAUUGGUGACAAAUAAAAAAAAUUACAAGCCAUAGGAUCACAUAUGUUCAAAUUUAUUGGUCAUAUAUUCUAAAUAGUUGGUCACAUGCACUGAAUACCUCCACCAUCGAUCCCGAUCCAGCACCAAUCUUGAUCACAAAUCACCAACGUACAAUUGUCGCUUGCACCACACCAUCAACUGCACUGCCCCAAUCUACAAUCUUCCACAAUUGCAACCACAACAUCGGCACACACCAUCGAACAAAUUGUGAGUCGAGGAAAUUUGUAACUAACCGGGAAAGAAGAGAAACAGAAAUUAACAAAAUAAGCAAGAGAAGAAGAGAAAACAAAAAUUAGCAAACAAAUAAAAGAAAGAGAAGAAUUACCAGUUGGCACCAUAUGGCCACCGCCGAAGUUGCUAAGAAGAAGACACAACCCAAUUCCUUUUAAUUUUGCCAUUCUUUGCCACUAGAUCUAUGUCGUCGAGACAUUGGACACUUAGCUUACAGUUCUUAUGGAUUUUGAAGGCCAAAUUUGCAGAAGAAUUUGGUUUGAAGAGAGGUUCGAAGGCAUGAUGGGCUUAUUAAUAUGGAGAUUAGUAUUAGAAAAAUUAUUGCCGGCUGUGAUGGCGCGACACUGUAGCAACUAUGCCGUUGCUCAGCUCUCACAUCUUCGACGGUGGCGACGCUCCUCAACAUUGACGAUUAUCGAUGGAGGGUAGAGAGGGAGGAGAAGUCAGCGUGGGAAUAGAGAGGGAGGAGAAGUCAGCGUGGGAAUAGAGAGGGA